CUUGGAAGGAGUGCCUGGAAUAAAGUGCAGAGAUCAGACUGUGGGAAGCCCAGCCCCGGUGGAUACAUCUACAUCAUAGCUCUCGUAUCUAUGACUCAGGAUGCAUCAUGGACCUGGGUGUGGAAAGAUGAUAAGAGCCAGAAAACCAGGAAGUCUGCUGUGAAAAUCCACUCAUAGAAAUUGUCGCAAGGUCUGAACAAUGGCAAUAUCAGUAGACAAGCUAAUGAAGGAAGUGGAAAAUCCUUACCAGGUCACACCCCUGAGCAAGGAGCUACAGGGCACAUUGUCCAUCUGUCGGUCUCCAGAGUCUUCAUGUGUCAUCUGUCCUCCCUGCCCAUAAGCUUUGCCUGUGU
rnacentral:lncRNA from 1 species